CCUACGGGAGGCAGCAGUGAGGAAUAUUGGUCAAUGGACGAGAGUCUGAACCAGCCAAGUAGCGUGAAGGAUGACUGCCCUAUGGGUUGUAAACUUCUUUUAUAAAGGAAUAAAACGAGGCACGUGUGCCUUUUUGCAUGUACUUUAUGAAUAAGGAUCGGCUAACUCCGUGCCAGCAGCCGCGUUAAUACGGAGGAUCCGAGCGUUAUCCGGAUUUCUUGGGUUUAAAGGGAGCGUAGAUGGGUUGUUAAGUCAGUUGUGAAAGUUUGCGGCUCAACCGUAAAAUUGCAAUUGAUACUGGCAGUCUUGAGUACAGUUGAGGUAGGCGGAAUGCGUGGUGUAGCGGUGAAAUGCUUAGAUAUCACGAAGAACCCCGAUUGCGAAGGCAGCUUACUAAACUGUGACUGACAUUGAUGCUCGAAAGUGUGGGUAUCAAACAGGAUUAGAUACCCUGGUAGUC
rnacentral:rRNA from 1 species